GAGAAUGCCGGUAUGAGUAGCGAAAAAGAAGUGAGAAUCUUCUUCACCGUAUGCCUAAGGUUUCCUGAGGAAGGCUCGUCCGCUCAGGGUUAGUCGGGACCUAAGCCGAGGCCGAAAGGCGUAGGCGAUGGCCAACAGGUUGAGAUUCCUGUACCACCUCUUUUCCGAUUGAGUGAUGGGGGAACGCAGGAGGCUAAGGGAAGCGCGUCAUUGGAUGAGCGCGCCCAAGCAGCGAGAGUGGUGGAUAGGCAAAUCCGUCCACCGGACGCUUGAGCUGUGAUGGGGAGGGAAUUUAAGUACCGAAGUCCCUGAUGUCACACUGCCAAGAAAAGCCUCUAGCAAGGAAAAAGGUGCCCGUACCGCAAACCGACACAGGUAGGCGAGGAGAGUAUCCUAAGGUGAUCGGGAGAACUCUCGUUAAGGAACUCGGCAAAAUGACCCCGUAACUUCGGGAGAAGGGGUGCUUGUCUAGGUUACGACCUAGCAAGCCGCAGUGAAAAGGCCCAAGCGACUGUUUAUCAAAAACACAGGUCUCUGCGAAGCCGUAAGGCGAAGUAUAGGGGCUGACACCUGCCCGGUGCUGGAAGGUUAAGGGGAUGCGUUAGCCCUAUGGGCGAAGCGUUGAACCGAAGCCCCAGUAAACGGCGGCCGUAACUAUAACGGUCCUAAGGUAGCGAAAUUCCUUGUCGGGUAAGUUCCGACCCGCACGAAAGGUGCAACGACUUGGGCACUGUCUCAACGAGAGACCCGGUGAAAUUAUACUAUGCGUGAAGAUGCGCAUUACCCGCGACAGGACGGAAAGACCCCGUGGAGCUUUACUGUAGCCUGAUAUUGAAUGUUGGUACAGCUUGUACAGGAUAGGUGGGAGCCUUGGAAACCGGAGCGCUAGCUUCGGUGGAGGCACCCGUGGGAUACCACCCUGGCUGUACGGACAUUCUAACCCAGGACCGUGAUCCGGUCCGGAGACAGUGUCAGGUGGGCAGUUUGACUGGGGCGGUCGCCUCCCAAAAGGUAACGGAGGCGCCCAAAGGUUCCCUCAGAAUGGUUGGAAAUCAUUCGCAGAGUGUAAAGGCAGAAGGGAGCUUGACUGCGAGACCUACAAGUCGAGCAGGGACGAAAGUCGGGCUUAGUGAUCCGGCGGUUCCGCAUGGAAGGGCCGUCGCUCAACGGAUAAAAGCUACCCCGGGGAUAACAGGCUUAUCUCCCCCAAGAGUUCACAUCGACGGGGAGGUUUGGCACCUCGAUGUCGGCUCAUCGCAUCCUGGGGCUGUAGUCGGUCCCAAGGGUUGGGCUGUUCGCCCAUUAAAGCGGUACGCGAGCUGGGUUCAGAACGUCGUGAGACAGUUCGGUCCCUAUCCGUCGUGGGCGUUGGAAAUCUGAGAGGCGCUGUCCUUAGUACGAGAGGACCGGGAUGGACACACCGCUGGUGUACCAGUUGUUCCACCAGGAGCACUGCUGGGUAGCUACGUGUGGCAGGGAUAAGUGCUGAAAGCAUCUAAGCAUGAAGCCCCCCUCAAGAUGAGAUUUCCCAUCGCUUCGAGCGAGUAAGAUCCCUCAGAGACGAUGAGGUUGAUAGGUCCGAGGUGGAAGCGUGGUGACACGUGGAGCUGACGGAUACUAAUCGAUCGAGGACUUAACUUC
rnacentral:rRNA from 1 species